CCUUUCUUGUAAUUUCUAAAGUGGUCUUGAGAAAUAGUUUGUCAGGUUUCCUUGAAGUCUUUCAGUUUCCUUUUUUGGACGCCGGCUGUUUUUUUUUCCACUCAUUUUUAGUUGAAUGUUUUUAAAAGGAAUAAAGGAUGAAUGUUUUUUUGUUUACUGAACCGCUUAACACUGAGCUAUGAAUAACUAAUGCAUGAAAAGGCAAACUAGGUAACUCAAGGUAUGAACCAGUGCCUACUCACGCUAAGAAAACUUAGCAAAGUUUUAAAUUUAAAUGUACUUUCUGUCUAGAACGUAUCUUUUUUCCUUUUUGUUUAAUGUGUGCAUUUCUACUACAGAAUUUCAAAAAACAAGUUAACAAGUUCUCAACAAAGUAAAAUGAAAUGUCUUUUCUUUCGCGGAAAGGAGCAUUCCUUCUUGAACCAUUUUAGGUUAUCACACCAUAGAGCUGGGCUGUUGGCUGAUCUGGAGACUGAUCUCCAGUGUGACAAUAAAGCAGUUCAAGUAACUGACUGGGAACACCCUAGAUUAUUAGGCAAUACAUACCAGUCAUAUUGUAUUGUGUGAAAGCAGCGUGAUGCAGUAUUCAUAGAGAAUUUCUAAGGGAAUAUUUUUGAGGGCAACAUAGAACUACUUAAGGCACCUUUUUUAUCAAAUCAAGAUUUUUAAUGAACAUAUUGGUGAAAACGUUUAAUGGUGUCUAAAUAUUAAAAAAGUCGAAAAUCAACUUUAAGCAACUCUUUCAAAUAACAAAAAAACCCCACAAACAUCCCUUAACCUUUAUCUGAGCAUAAAGAGGGAAUAGCAUCCGACCCUUGCUUUGGAUAAAGUGCUAUAAUGACUGUAAGUGUUACAGUAUAGCUGCCUGGCAGACAGGAUGUGAUGAGGGUAGAGGUAACAGGUGGACACAGAGAGAAAUAAUAACCAAAAUAAAACCGGAAGAGAGGCACAACUAAACAGGGAAGCAAGAUUAUACUGAUGCAAAAAAAGACAGAAAGAGAAA